GAUGAACGCUGGCGGCGUGCUUAACACAUGCAAGUCGAACGAAACACCUUAUUUGAUUUUCUUCGGAACUGAAGAUUUGGUGAUUGAGUGGCGGACGGGUGAGUAACGCGUGGGUAACCUGCCCUGUACAGGGGGAUAACAGUCAGAAAUGACUGCUAAUACCGCAUAAGACCACAGCACCGCAUGGUGCAGGGGUAAAAACUCCGGUGGUACAGGAUGGACCCGCGUCUGAUUAGCUGGUUGGUGAGGUAACGGCUCACCAAGGCGACGAUCAGUAGCCGGCUUGAGAGAGUGAACGGCCACAUUGGGACUGAGACACGGCCCAAACUCCUACGGGAGGCAGCAGUGGGGAAUAUUGCACAAUGGGGGAAACCCUGAUGCAGCGACGCCGCGUGAGUGAAGAAGUAUCUCGGUAUGUAAAGCUCUAUCAGCAGGGAAGAAAAUGACGGUACCUGACUAAGAAGCCCCGGCUAACUACGUGCCAGCAGCCGCGGUAAUACGUAGGGGGCAAGCGUUAUCCGGAAUUACUGGGUGUAAAGGGUGCGUAGGUGGUAUGGCAAGUCAGAAGUGAAAACCCAGGGCUUAACUCUGGGACUGCUUUUGAAACUGUCAGACUGGAGUGCAGGAGAGGUAAGCGGAAUUCCUAGUGUAGCGGUGAAAUGCGUAGAUAUUAGGAGGAACAUCAGUGGCGAAGGCGGCUUACUGGACUGAAACUGACACUGAGGCACGAAAGCGUGGGGAGCAAACAGAAUUAGAUACCCUGGUAGUCCACGCCGUAAACG
rnacentral:rRNA from 1 species